rnacentral:lncRNA from 1 species
CCACCUCUGCCUGCAUGCCGCGUGCGCCCCAGGUUGCACCCCUCCUCUCGAGUGGUCCCCCUCAGCACAAACAGCAGAUCAACUUGGCCUUGGAUCUCUGGGAAGAAAAGCUUAUCUUCAAAGAAGUGCUGGUACUGGCGUCAGAAAGGGAGACAUUCAUCCCUGUCUUUAAAGAGCGCGUUCUCUGCUUUGGGAAGAUGUUUGAAGCUGAUGUACAGUGCAUGUUUGGUGGGCCAUAAGUCAGGAUGCUCUGGGAAAAACAAGUUUUAGGCCGAAUCAAGGUUAAACCAGAAUGGCUUCCCCAUAUACCUCAAUAUGUGAAAACUUAUUAUUUUCAUCACCACCAUCAUCCAUUUUAAAAAUACUUAAGAUUUGUACCAAUGAGAAUUUUACAUUGAUCCUUUCUUUUUCUCCUUGAAAACAUAUUUUCAUUACACUUCCACCACAGAAUUUUAUCCUAAUGCAAUAUGUUUUAUGCUUCC